rnacentral:rRNA from 1 species
CUCCAGACUCCUACGGGAGGCAGCAGUGGGGGAUAUUGCACAAUGGAGGAAACUCUGAUGCAGCGACGCCGCGUGAGGGAAGACGGUCUUCGGAUUGUAAACCUCUGUCUUUGGGGAAGAAAAUGACGGUACCCAAAGAGGAAGCUCCGGCUAACUACGUGCCAGCAGCCGCGGUAAUACGUAGGGGGCAAGCGUUAUCCGGAUUUACUGGGUGUAAAGGGAGCGUAGACGGCAGUGCAAGUCUGGAGUGAAAGGCGGGGGCUCAACCCCCGGACUGCUCUGGAAACUGCGUCGCUGGAGUACGGGAGGGGCAGGCGGAAUUCCUGGUGUAGCGGUGAAAUGCGUAGAUAUCAGGAGGAACACCGGCGGCGAAGGCGGCCUGCUGGACCGUGACUGACGUUGAGGCUCGAGAGCGUGGGGAGCAAACAGGAUUAGAUACCCUGGUA